rnacentral:tRNA from 1 species
GGCGGGGUGCUAGAGAGGUUUAAUAGGCUGGUCUUGAAAACCAGAAGGGGUGCAAGCCCCUCGUGAGUUCGAAUCUCACCCCCGCCG